UUGGGUGGCCUGGGUGGAUGUGCCAGGACUUGUUUGUCUUUGGGAGUGAGUCGCAUUUCCUCAGAAGUCACCUAAUUUUGUGGUUCCCUCCAGUGAUCCUCAGCAACUCUGAGGAUGGCAUCCCAGGACCGUCAUCCUCCCAGUGCCAUGGUCCCACCAUUAUCCUCUUCUCCAGGCUGUGAUUGUGCUUGCUGAAAGACGAUGACACUGGAUUACCCUAGCUCUGUUACUCCUUGCAUUGCUUUUGUGAUUUAUGCAGGUCCAGAAGAGUCCAAGGAUCAUUUAUCUUCAAACCAGGAGAGCGAUGAAAGAGUCGUGAUAGUAAAAUUUCCUGCAGAGCUAGAUCUGAGCAUCAAAGAGGGGAAAAUGUCAUUGUUUUACUGAGACAAGACGACGUGAGACAAGUUUUAAUGCUGGGGGAUUUUUUUAACUGAGUAAUUUGCCUUAAGAAGAAAGAGAAGUUUGAAGAAACGAAAGGAGGGCAAAUGAGCUUGGUGGGCACUGCUGGGAAGCACUCUCUGGGGAGGGGCAGAAAAAGCCACGUGGAAGCAGAGCCCAAGGGGACGCGCUUCUCCUGGGAUGAAGAGGCAGCACCAGGCAGGGUCAGGCUGUGGCUGACGGGUGUCCUCGCUGGGAGAGAGCCAUGAUGAGUCUGGGACAGGCAUACCAUCAGUCCAUGGUGCCUGCAAGAAGCCAUGGGCUCAUGCAACAUGGGGCGUACUUGGGGUGCACAGGUCUGCACAGCAGCAUGACUAUACCUAGGAUAGAGAAAAAAGAAAGUUCCUAGUCUCAGUGAGUCUGACUGCAAAUAUGGGAAACACCACACAGCCACACUCCUCUGUGCUGCCGCAGUUUGACACGACAGUGGUGCACCUCCUCAACCAGCUCCUGGGCCGAGGGUUUGAUGGAGCAUCACUCUACCACAGCAUCAGGUCCUGUGGGGCAGGGGAGCAUAAUCUGCCCUUGCCCUGCCUCGAGGCUUACAUCCAAAGCACAAAUCUUGGUAAAUGUGAUCACAUCAGAGGGCUGGAAGGAAACCGAAGGAAGGAGGGGGCUGGGAAAGGGUCCGUUUACAUUUGCAGCAGAUGUUAUCUAGAGGAGGAAAAUACUUUUAUUUCCCCUGUGAACUGCCAGUUGAUUUUUGUGUGGCAGGCACUAAUGGAAAAUAAUAAAGCCCAUUUUAGUUAGGCUGUAUCUAGAGCACUUACAGGUCAAGCCAGUACUCAAAACAGAGUUAUGGAACAUAACACAUUAGUUUGUCCCCAGCGUCCACAGUGGCCAGGGGAUUUUUACCAUUUGAAAUUGAAUUUUACAGGUCAAGACCUUUCGUGACUUUUAAAAAGCAGUGCAUCUCUGUAAAGUUAGUAUGAACGGGGAGACAAUUACUGGGUGUAAAGAUGUGCAACCUUUGUGUUUGUUAACAGUGAAAAAAAAAUCCAAGGGGACUCAUGCUGGGCAGUGUGAUAUGGCUAUAAACCCCAGAAUAUUCUCAUUAAUUGUUAUGACUCAAAUUAUUUGGUAUUGUCUUCCUGCUGCUAAAUCAAACCCACAAAAUGCACAGGAGGUAUCUUUCUCUGAAAAUUAAGUCCUGUCGGUUUAUAAUUUAAAAUUCACUGAUGACUGUAAAGGAAGCAUGGUCAUAAAAGCUCAAGUUUCUUAGAAAUGAGUCAGAAGUAGAUCAUUUGUUUAGGAGAGAUUAACUUAGUUCAACAUUCAGAUAACCUCAAACGUCUUCCAUGUGGUUUUAUACUUCACAGAAUAAAUAAAGCAAGGACAUGAGGUCCGUGCCUGAACUGCCACACACACAUGCACACAUCCUGAUGUCUCUGUUUUCUUCUCCAUCCCCUCCCCUUGCAAAGCCUCGACCCCACGGCACUCCCACCCUGCUGAUUCAGGAAGGCUGUAAGAGGGCAUGCAGCAUUCACGCUUUGAUUGCCCAAAUUAGAGACAAGGGCCACCAAAAGCCCCACUUUGAGCAUGUUGGAUGUUGAGGGCGGUCCACACGCUGCCCCCAUUCCCAGUAGCCCCAGGGAUGAAGGGUCUCCUGCGCAACGCUGUGCUCCAAAGCCAGCUAUCCUCUGUGGCAUUCCUGCUAAGAACUGGAAUUGAUGCUGAUGACUUUAUUGUGAUACCAAAUCCACAUGCCAGGCAGGUCGGGCACCAGUGUCCCAGGCAGCUGUCCCUGCACUGCUGGUGGGAAGACUGGGACUGCUGGGGUGAUCUCCCAGGUGAUAGAGGAAGCCUUGUUGCUAGCCUCAUUUCCAUGACACUGCCUUUUCUGCCACAGCCAAAUGGAUUCCUGCUGACUCACAUACCACAUUGAUUGUGAUCAUAAUUAAUAACAGCAGAAGGCUCGGGUCUAGGCUGCAAACCUCCCCUCUCAGCUGGGCAGACCCUCAUAUGGGCAGCUGGUGGGGUGAGACCCACGAGGUUUGCUCGUUCAGGACAGGCGUGGUGUGGAUAUCCUCCAUCUCAAACAUGGAGGAGCAAAGUAUCAUUAUCCCCAUUUCUAGCUAAGGCAUUUAGUGUGAGGCUUUGGCACCAUGCACAGGAGCUCCCCACAGGCCUUCUACAUCAGAACUGCAUUUUAUUAGUUGUUAUGUGAACUGUGCUUUGCUUUGCUGUUACUCCCCAUUGUAUUCUCUCCCUUGCCUCACUAAGCAGCAUUUCCCAGGAGGAGGGGGCAAAGACACAGCCCCGUGCCAAGGGCCUAAAUUAGAUCAACCAUGCUGUUUUGCCUUUCUUGCUGAGUCAGCAAGUAUGCCAGUCAGCUAAACACAUAUAAUCACUAUGCUUUUCUUUCCUUCCUUUAUUUAUUUUUAACCCAAAGCUAAGUAUGCAUCUCAGGAGUAAAGUGUGUUGUGUCGUUAGUAACUGAUGGUAGCUGGGAAGUGCAUAUGGCCACUCUGUUUCCCAGUAAUAUCCACUAAGUUCUGAAAUCACUAUCAUUUCUGCAGGUUUUUCCUGUAAUUCAACUUUAAUAAAACCCGCUCUUAUAACA